rnacentral:tRNA from 1 species
GCUUUCGUGGUGUAGUGGUCAGCACGCUCGACACCUAUUCGAGAGGUCUGUGGUUCGAGUCCCAGCUAAGGCA